GACAACGUGUCCGAGUGGUUAAGGAGACAGAUUUGAAUUACACUUGUUCCACAGGUGCCAAAUAUCUGUUGGGUUCGCCCGCGUAGGUUCGAACCCUGCCGUUGUCG